rnacentral:rRNA from 1 species
AUACGGAGGGUGCAAGCGUUAAUCGGAAUUACUGGGCGUAAAGCAUACGUAGGCGGUUCGUUAAGUUAGAUGUGAAAGCCCCGGGCUUAACCUGGGAACUGCAUUUAAAACUGGCGAACUAGAGUUGAGUAGAGGGGAGUGGAAUUUCAGGUGUAGCGGUGAAAUGCGUAGAGAUCUGAAGGAACACCAGUGGCGAAGGCGGCUCCCUGGACUCAAACUGACGCUGAGGUACGAAAGCGUGGGUAGCAAACGGGAUUAGAAACCCCAGUAGUCC